rnacentral:rRNA from 1 species
GGCCUUUUGAAUUUAAUAUAAGGUCUGACCUGCCCAGUGAUGAUUUUAACGGCCGCGGUAUAUUGACCGUGCAAAGGUAGCAUAAUCAUUAGUCUUUUAAUAGAGGGCUGGAAUGAAAGGUUUCACGAGGAACUGGCUGUCUCAUUUUAUUUGUUUUAAAAUUUAAUUUUUUAGUUAAAAAGCUAAAAUUUUAUUGGUAGACGAGAAGACCCUAUAGAGCUUUACAUAUAAUUAAAUAAAUAUUUUUAUAUUAAUAUUUUUAUUUAUUUUUGUGUUUUGUUGGGGUGACAAAAAUAUAUAACUAACUUUUUUAUUUACUUUACAUUGAUUUAUGAAUAUUAGAUCCAAUCUUAUUGAUUAUUAGACUAAGUUACCUUAGGGAUAACAGCGUAAUCCUCCUCCAGAGUUCAUAUUUACAGGAUGGGCUUGCGACCUCGAUGUUGGAUUAAGAUAAUAAUUGGGUGUAGCCGCUUAAUUGAUAGGUCUGUUCGACCUUUAAAUUCUU